ACAAAAUUUCAGUUGCCAUCCACCACAGAGAAAAUAAGAUACCAUAGGCCAAAUAUUUGUGCCCCCCCCUCAAAUUUAUAUUGUUGAAGUGUAAUCCCCAAAGUGGAAGUAGGGCCUUUGGAAGGUGAGUAGGUCAUAGGAGUGGAACCCUCAUGAAAGGGAUUAGUGUCCUCAUAAAGGGAGCCCCAGAGAGCUCCUGUGUCCCUUUGUAAUGUGUGGAGACACAGUGCUAAGAAAAACAUCUAUAAACCAGGAAGCAGGUCCUCACCUCACACUGAAUCUAGUGGUGCAUCGAUUGUGGACUUCCAGUCUCCAGAGAACUAGAACAAACAAUCCUAAAAUUUGUGUGGAACCACAAAGGACCUUAAAUCGCCAAAGCAAUCUUGAGAAAGCAGAACAAGGCUGGAAGCAUCAUAAUUCCAGAUUUCAAGUUAUAUUACACAGUGGUGGUGAUUAAAACAGUAUGGUAAUGGCACAAAAGUAGACACAAAGAUCAGUGGAAUAGAAAACCCAGAAAUAAAUCCACACUUCGACAAAGGAGGAAAGAAUAUGUAACGUGAAAAAGACAGUCUCUUCAACCAAUGGUAUUGGAAAAACUGGUCAGCCACAUGCAAAAGGAUGAAACUGGACUUCUUUUCACCAUACACAAAAAGAGCCUCAAAAUGGAUUAGAGACCUAAAAGUGAGACCUGAAACCAUACAAAUCCUUGAAGAGAACACAAAUAGUAAUCUCUCCGACAUCAGCUGUAUAACAUUUUUCUGGAUAUGUCUCCUGAGACAAGGGAAGUAAAAGUAAAAAUAAGCUAGUGGGACUUCAUCAAAAUAAAAUGCUUCUACACAGUGAAGGAAACAAUCAACAAAACUAAAAGGCAACCAAUGGAAUGGGAGAAGAUAUUUGCAAAUGACAUAUCCAAUAAAGGGUUAGUAUCCAAAAUAUAUAAAGAACUGAUACAACUCAACACCCCAAAACAAAUAAUCCCAUUAACAAUGGGCAGAAGACAUGAACAGACAUUUCUCCAAAGAAGACAUACAAAUGGCCAACAGACACAUGAAAAGAUGUUCAUCAUCACUUGCCACCAGGGAAAUGCAAAUCAUAAUGCAAGUCUAAGUGUCAUGGAGAGGCACACGGGGAAUACUAGCUGAGGUCUGAAUUUUUUAAAACACAAGCCAUACCUCUAAAACAUACUUGGUGUUUAUUAAAAUAACGGAGCGUGGUACUCUCUGAAGUCAACAGAAGAUUAAGAUGAAGGAACCGAGCCUUCUUUAUUUUUGUUGCUUUUGUAAGCAGUUAGAAAACUUGCAAAGACAGUGACUUGCUUACCAAUCCAGACUUAGUCUCUCA